ACCCCCUCCUCCUCACCGAAACACACGCUCCCGAUCCAGAAUUCCAGAUCGGAACCCUACCCACAUGGGCGCCGCCGACCUCACCCCGUCUCAUGUGACCUCGCCGCCGGCCAUGUCCUCCGCUCUCUCCCCCACCCUCUCCACUCCCCUCUCCUCCCCUCAUCUGAAGAGAAGAGGGAGAUGGAGCGACCAGAUCCGCCGCCGGCCAUGGUCGCCCAAGGCUUCGACCUGGGGCUCCAUUCCCACAGUCGCGCCCGGGACAGGACCCCCGAUGACGCCGCCAUGAGUGAGGAGACGGCUUCCCUCUCUUCCGCACCCCACCUCAGGCGGCGGCCAGAUCGAGCACGCCAGGCAGAUUCGCGCCGUCGUCCAGGUGCAAGCACGCUCCGUCAGGCACAACCACCACCGAGCCUUGUUGCUGGCCGUACCUUGGACCGGAGCAGAGACACGUUUGGCUGGCAGAAGGAGCCCUGCCUGCCUGCCUGCUCCUCGUGACACAUUGGGGUGGGCUAGACCUUGAUGACACGAUCCACCCUGCAUGCACCUUGAUGUCAUGAAGAACAUCCAAUUCGAAGAUUAUAUGGCCGAGUGAGUGGAGCUUUGCAUACUCCUCCUCUACAAGCAGCAUAGAACCAGCAUGUCAGGGGCUGCCAAGGCAGGGGCUGCCAAGGCAGGGUCUGCCAAAGCAGUGUUGUUGCCGGGUGUGCCUUUGGCGACCAUGGUACGGGCAGCCGUCGUCCAACACGGAGUUUGGUCAGCGAAGCAGCUCUGCCAGUGCCAGUGCUCACUCCUGUGGGGUUUCUCUGGUGGCAUUUUCUUCUUCCACUCCACCCACCCUGCUCGUCUGGUGGCCUUGAUUCUUCUACCACUCUGGAACAGGUGGCAUGUGAACCUUCAUGUCUGGCUACUAUGGCUCGCAUCUGUGUUUUGUUGGGAAGCCUGCUGCUGCCAUCCCUGAAGUGAAUGUUGCAUUGUGCUUCAGAUGUACGACAGCGACAACUCCACAGCGAGCUUUCUCCAUAUGAAGUUUGGUGCCAUCGAGAUUGAUGAUGACCCCCAAAAGUGGCAAGAUGCCGAGGAGAGAAGUGCCACUACGAGAGGCAAGCGAGAUCUGGAUAAUAAAAUGACAAGACUAGCCCGGAUUUGCAAGUUGUGCUUCAUUUCAUACCGAUGUAUAUCUGGUCGUUGCCGAAGUCUCUGGUAGCUUACUUUGUAAUUUGUUUGUUGGUUGGUGGUAUUUUCUACGCAAUGAAAUCAUGAGUGAUCGAAAGUGAUCUUUGUGCUAUAGAUUGGGUUGACCAUGAUCUAUGAUUUAUGUGUAUAUGCAUCUGUGAUGAUCCAUCGGUUUUAUUUAGUGACCUUCAUCAGACGAUGAAGUGCUUGGCUGA